CCAACACUUACGAUUUUAUUUUAAGACAGGGUGUCACUAAGUUGCCCUGGAUGGCUUUGAACUUGCAAUUCUCCUGCUUCAGCCUCCCAAGUAUAGCUUGGGAUGCAGGUGCAUGCCACAAAAAUGCUUUUUUUUUUUUUUGAUGAGAACUUUGCGUGUCUGGGGAGGGCUCACACUACUCCUCUUGGGUGGGGGUCCUGAGCUGAUGUGACUGGGCUUCAUCCCCACAGGAUUCUCCCAGCAACAAGCUUCUGUAUGCCAAGGAGAUCUCCACCUACAAGAAGAUGGUGGGAGGAUUACUACAAGGGGAUUCGGCAGAUGGUGCAGGCACACACAGACUCCCUGAACACCCUUGUGGCACUGCACCAGCUCUACCAGUACACGCAGAAGUACUAUGAUGAGGUAGGGGUCUGGUCCCCGGGGUAGGGCUCAGGGGACGUCCUCCCCAGGUCUGGUCUUCACACCAGCACCUGUCACUCCACCUGCCCAGAUCAUCAAUGCCUUGGAGAGGACCCUGCCGCUCAGAAAAUGCAGGUUGGCCUUCCGCCUGCAGCAAAUCGCGGGCUGCUCUCGAGAACAAAGUCACCGACCUCUGACCUCAGACCAUCAGUGCUACCUGG
rnacentral:lncRNA from 1 species